rnacentral:lncRNA from 1 species
CGAAACUUACGUCGCACCUGCACUGAACCAUUCAUUUCCUCUAUUACAGUUUAUUUCCUCAUAUGGAGUGUAUAUAAGACAGAAAUAAAUUGAAAACUUAUCAAAACAUUUCUGUACACCGUUAAAUAACGAUACGCAUAUAUUCAAGGUAAAUUAUAUGUCUAUAAUGAAUUUAUUUUUCAAAAUAUAAUAGAUUAUAUUUUAAUGUAUGCAAUUAAUGUUUAAUUUAAAGAACAACAACUCUAUCUUGUUAAAACAAUAGAUUCGCAGUAUAAGAUAUAUGAAUAAUGAUGAUGAUUAUGAUUUGAGCAUGAAAUAUUUCUAGCAACGUCAAAUCAUCUAAAAUCACGGAUUCAAAAGAUAUAAGAAUAGUCCUAAUCAGUUAAAAACAAUUCAAAGAUUAACAGAUAAAUGUCUUUUUCUUAAUACUAUAAUGUAUGGCAAUAAUACAUUUUCCAUGGUGAAUCCUGCAGAUAAGUUUUGCAGUACUCGUUUAAGGCAUCAGAUAUAUUGAAAGAAUAAAUUUUUCAUUUUUUAGUGACAUUUUCAAACCAAUCAAUUUUAGUUGCAUUUGUUUUAAUAUUCAUUCUAGGUAUAAUGGAAGGGAAAGCUGUUAUCAUUUUCUUUGGCUUUAUAGCAUGUGCUUUUGCUGGUAUGUAUUUUAUGACGUUAUAUAUUUUUAUUAUUGUUCAAAUGAGGAUUUAUACAAAGGAAUAAGUCAUGAGCAAUCAUUUUUAAAACUUUACAGACCAAAUUUUUGAAAACAAACUAUCAUAAGAUUCUUUAAAAAAAUGAUUAAAAUACAUGAAUGUUAAAAUUAACAUACAAACAAGGAUACAUCGUUUCAGCACUUGGCUUAUACGUUUACCAUUCCUCAUAAGGAAACAAUCGCAGAAAACAAGGAAAUUUGAAAUCAUUUAAGGAAAAAAAUUGUAAAAGGAAAAUAAAAAAUGACGGAUACAUAACAUAAGAAUACCUAUCAUAUUAUAUUUAAAACGCAAACAUGUUUUACGAUUGGUGUAAGUAAAUUAGAACAGCGGUUUUUGACUUGGAUAUUGACUUGGAUCUUGAUAUUAUUCAAAUGAAGAUUUAUACAAAGGAAUAAGUCAUGAGCAAACAUUAUUAAAACAUUACAACCCAAAUAUUUGAAAAUGAAACAAUCAAAAGAUUCUUUAAAAAAGUUUAUUAAAUACAUGAAUGUUAGAAUUAACAUACAAAAACUGAUACAUCGUUUCGACACUUUUUGAAAUCAUUUAAGAAUAAAAAUUGUAGCAGGCAAAGUGAAAAUGACGAAUACAUAACAUGAGAAUACCUGAUAUAUUGUAUUUAAAGCACAAACAUGUUUACAAUUGGUGUAAGUAAAUUAGAACAGCGGUUUUUGACUUGGAAAUAUAGUUAAUAGAACAUAGAGUAAAAACAAAAACACCUAAUGUUUGGUCAUUGUUAAGAAAAUACAAAAUAUACUCACUUUUAACGAUAAACCGUGAAAGUAAUUAUACUAUAUGUAAUAUUUAUAUAAGUAAUACAUUCUUUAAAAAACACUUUGGUUGUAAAACAAAUAUUGAAACCGAAUAAUACUAUAAUCUGUUCUACAUCACUGUUUAGAUUUAUGUAGACAAAAUGCGCGUCUGUCUUAUCAAAUUAAAAGCCUGGUACCUUUCUUUUCGAAUGAAAAUUCAUAUUUCAACAUUUCUAAUUAAUAUUUAUUAUUACAGUAUAUUCACCCAAAGGCGGGAAAGCUUGUGAAAUUGAAUGCUCUAGUCAUUCAGAAUGUCUAGAUGGAUACAAAUGCCAAACUGAAGGAUGUGAUCGUAUGUGCAGACCUAGAAGAGUAAUCUUAUCAAAUGCAGUUGUCGGAUCAGACAUUAUUUCAGCUGGAUGCGUUCAGAGAUGUAUGGACCGAGGUGGGCUAGGUUGCAGAAGUCUUUGUCAGCGUAGUGCAGAUUUUUUAUCAGGAGGCCAAAUCAUUCGUAGUGGUUCCUUAGACAGUAGAUUCAAUGAUGCCUUAGUAGAUUCUAUUCGGUCAGAUAGUCUUGUUAGACAUACCUCGUCAGUAGGUGAUUCUAUUCGAUCAGGUAGUCUUGUUAGACAUAUCUUGCCAGUAGGUGAUUCUAUUCGGUCAGAUAGUCUUCUUGGACGUAUCUCAUCAGUAGGUGAUUCUAUUCGAUCAGGUAGUCUUGUUAGAAAUAUCUCGCCAGUAGGUGAUUCUAUUCGGUCAGGUAGUCUUCCUGGACGUAUCUCGCAAGUUGGUUCAAUUUUACAUAAAGGCUGUCAAAAUACAUGCAUUUCACGAGGCUGCAACUUCAACGAGGAAUGUGUCACACGAGAUGGAUGUUCUGUUUGUGUUCGUGCCAAGACCUACGCAUAAGAUAAGACAACAGAUGACAUAAUAUAUUGUGCAAUAUUUAAAUGAUAGUUAUCCAUGUAUUGUGAUAUUUUAUAAUUUUGUUUUGAUACACAAAUAAAGUAUUUAUUAUAACAGAGUUUAUUUAAAUUUUUGGUCUUAGAUUCACAGCUGCCUCUCACGCAUGUUCAACAACAAAAUCGGUAACAAAUCGUAACCUUAGAAAGCUUCUAACAGAAAUAUGAGACACAUCAGUAAAGCCUUCUAUAAUUCUAAUCAUUAUGACUUAAAAAGAAUUUCGCAUUUGCACCAGAAUAUAUAGCAAAGAACAAAUUGCAAUAUAUUUCAAUUAACAGAAUUAUUAUCAAUCAUAUUUCUGUAAUAAAAUAUCACUGCUAUUGCUUAAAAGGUGUUUCUUGGAAUGAGAGUAAAAAUAAAAUACAAAAACAAAUCUUAACUCUAAGGAAAUUAAAAACGAAAAGUCUCUUAUCAAAACAUCAAAAUCAACAGCUUAAACAAUUCAAAUGAAAGAAAACAGCUGUCAUUGUCCUGACUUAGUAAAGGAGAUUCCUUCUGAAGAAAAUAAUAGAUUGGACUUGAGUUGUUAUAGAUAGCUAGAACUCUGACAUGCUUGGCAGUCGCACAAAAUUACGUUAUAUUGACAAUAUUGUGUGAACAAAACAAGCAGACAUAAAAGAUAACCUUUAUUAUUAGAAAAAGAAACAAAUAGCUCAAUAUCUCAAUAAACAAAAAUGAAAUUGCAUAUAGAAUAUACUUAAAGGCAAAAAUUGAAAGAUAGAAAAAUGACUAUAGCACAAUAUCACAGUGUACCGAGCCAAAAAGAUAUAAACGACAAUUGACUAAACAGUCAAGGUACAUGUCUUAGAAAGAUAAAUAAACGAACACUAUAAAACGUUGUUAAAAGUGAGAUAAAAAAUACUAAAUGAACAUUUAAACUAAAAAUCGAAAUUAAUCUGAAAAAGACAUUUAUAAAAUACAAAAAGGGCAAACAGACAAACACAAUAGAAAACCAAAGACUGUGCAGCACGAGCGUUACCAACAGUCGGGUAAUCUCAGGUGUUCCGAAAAGGUAAGUAGAUCUUGCUCCACAUGUGACACUUGUAAAGUUUCGCAUGUUACUAGAAACCCGGUGAUUUGGCUAGCUCGAUAAAUCACAUACCGAAAAUAGUAUCAGCAAAACGGCUACUAUAUUUUGUACAUGGAAUAAAUGCAAAUAAAAUUGAGAAUGGAAAUGGGGAAUGUGUCAAAGAGACAACAACCCGACCAAAUAAAAAACAACAUUCAGAGGCCAUAUGAACACCACUUCACUGUCGUAAUAAGGACCUAAUUUUAUAAUAUACGUUAUUUCAAUUUUAAAAAACCAUGAUAAGUAUUAUAUCACUAACCUCUGUAGCAUUUAAGAGUCGAUUAGUCAAUGAGUUUAUGAUCAUAUAUUUUUCUCAAAUAUCAUUUAAAGAAAAGUUGUCUUCCAUUCUUGGAAUGAAUAAGUUAAAUUCAUGUGUAUUUGCAUUUGAAAUAAAGAAAAUGUCAGAUAAAUUUUGUUCAAUUAUGUUUUUCCAUGCAUGAUCUAUUCAAAAUCUUGUCAAAUUUGCACAACCUGUAGCACGAAAAAACAAGCCCCGUGACCCAUUCUUUUUAUUUAUGUUUUUAAAAAAGCAUGAUAUAAACUACAUUUUGGCAAAGUAUUAAAACAUUCUAUGGAUUAUAAUUUAGACACCCCAUCUACCUUAAACUAGAAACUGAAAUUAAAAUGUAACGUUUAAACUUAAAAUGAUUUAACACUUAACUUUAAUAAUAGUGGAAAUUAUCCGAUAAACCUCUUAAAAAUACCAACACUGAAAGACCGAAAAUGAGGAUAAAAAAUAUUAUAAAGAAAGAUGAUGUUUGUUAACAAACAUUAUCUGUAAUCCAUUUCUUGCUGUAUUUGGCAAAAUGUAUAGAAAUUGUUCGUUCUCAAUGCUCUUAAACUUUUUACUUUAUUUGGCUUAUUUAUUUUUUUUAUUCGAACGUCACUGAUGAGUCUUUUGUAGACGAAAUGCGCAUUGGGCGCAAAUAUAAAAUUUCUAUCAUGGUAUCUAUGAUGAGAUAAUUGGCAUUAAUCUCGUAUUGUUUUUGAUGUGUUUUGUCAUUUGAACUUUGCCAUGUUUAGGGACUUAUCGAAUUGAUUUCCCUCUGAGUUCAGUAUUUUUGUGAUUUUACUUUUUUUGUAUAACAGUGUAAGAAAGUAUGAAUUAAUUUGAUUUGCUUAUCCAACCUCAUAAGACGAUAUUAUGGCAUUUUCAUUUGCUUUUCGUUAGGUCCGAGAUAACUUUAAAAGGUUAAGAAGAUGUAUUUUUGUUAAUGGCAACUGCAUGAACAGAUAUAUGUGAUUUCUUCAAAAAUAUACAAAACACUCACACCUUUUACCUGACAAUCUUCUUUCUAUCAAUUUUUGUUACAUUCUGAAGCGUACAAAAAGUCUUUAAAUGUCUGACGUUAAAGUUUUACACAGGAAAAGGACAUAUUAUGUCAUACUAGAAUCUGCAAAAAAUUAGAUCAACAAUUCGCGAAAUUUUUAAUUUAAUCAAAUGAUAGUGUUGACCAUUGAGAAAUAGGUUAAACAACUUGAAAUAAAUGGAUAUCGCUUUAUAUCACUCUCAUCAAGUAUUCUAAUGGUAAUAAUAAACUCUCCGAAGGCUUGUUAAUUGUCCUUUUGAAAUUCGAUAACUCAAAUUGACGUCAAGCGAUAAUCCAUUCUCACUGGUUAUGAAACCUAUAAUUAGAGCAUUCUUUAAAUAACAGGUAUGGUUUUAAUUUUAAAGAUGCUCUUAUUUCCUCUCAAAAUUUGUAUCUAUUCCUUUAAAGUACUUAUCAUAAAAAAGAACAUGUGGUGUGUUUGCCAAUGAGACACACUCUCAAAACAAACCAAAUGACGCAGACUUUAACGACUAUAGGUCACCGUACGGUCUUCAACAAUGAGCAAAGCGCAUACUACAUAGUCAGUUAUAAAUCGCCCUGAAAUAACAAAUUAAUGUAAAAAAAAUUCAAACGAGGAAACUAACGGCCUAAUUUUUGUAAAAGUAGGAACGAAAAACAAAUAUUUAACUCAUCAACAAAAGGAGGACAAUCACGAAAGAAGUACAAACUCAUAAAUCUGGGACAGUCAAACAUACAAUGUGGCGGGGUUACACAUGUUAGCGGGAUCCAAACCCUCCCCAAACCUGGAACAUUCCCUCCCCAAACCUGGAACAGUGGUGUAACAGUACAACAUAAAAACAAACUAUAAAAAGGUCAUCAGAUGGAUACAAAUAGAAAUAUUAUUAAAUAAAACGGAUAUUUUUUACCAUAUCAUAUGGGAUUUUGUAAAAUUUCAGACAUGUUUAUAUCUAAAAGUUACAUUCAUAACUUUUGUUUUACUUCAUUAAUACAUACUGAUUAAAAACUGAAACUGUUUUGAGGGUUUUGAAUGCUAUCUGCUCUUAGUCGACGUCUGCAAUCCCCAGUAAAAGUAUGCGUUAUCUGCUCUUUGGUUGGGUUGUUGUCUGUUUGAAAUUUUCCCAAUGUCCAUCCUCGAUUUUACUUAUUAGCUAAGAGGAAUGCUUUGAAUGACAAAUUGAAGUUACGAAGUUUAAGUUGAAUAUACCAGUGAUUUUCAGAUAAAUAAGGUUCUUCGGUUUCUAUAAAUUGUAUUUAAAAGUUAUUUAAUCUAAUCAAACCCCAUCAAAUAUAGAUGCUGUCAAGUUUUAUGAAUUUUUAGGAUUGUGUCAUAAAAUGUAUAAAACUUGACAAAAAAUACAGAAAUUAUCUCCGACUUCGUUUAAUUAAAUCAAAUUCAGAAUAGAAUGCUUUUUACCCACACCAAUGGUUUAUCUAUUUUAAAAAAAUCAAAUUCAGAGUAGAAUGAUGUUUAAGCAAACUUAUGGUUCAUCUAUCUUUAAAGACCACAAUAUCUAAAUGCAUGUUUUUCUAUGACAAACAUCCUGACAUAUUCGUUAUGGUUUAACAUCUUAACCUUUGCAAUAUAUUAUUUUUCAAUUUAAAAGACCUCUCUUAAAUGAAUAUUUAACAAAAUAAAAAAUGCAGAAAAAAUAAACAAACGGCACUUCAACAUUUUUUUAAUUUCAACAACAUUUUCUGACCAAACCGAUAUGUCUUAAAAUAUUUUUUUGUUGUGGUUAGGCGAUACGGGAGACUGAGGUUAAAUUUUUUAACAGAUAAAUUCAAUGUAAGUGUGACAUUUAGAACUUGAUUAAUGAACAUAUUUACAAGUAUUGUGAAACUUACGUCACACCUGCACUGAACCAUUCAUUUCCUCUAUUACAGUUUAUUUCCUCAUAUGGAGUGUAUAUAAGACAGAAAUAAAUUGAAAACUUAUCAAAACAUUUCUGUACACCGUUAAAUAACGAUACGCAUAUAUUCAAGGUAAGUUAUAUGUCUAUAAUGAAUUUAUUUUUCAAAAUAUAAUAGAUUAUAUUUUAAUGUAUGCAAUUAAUGUUUAAUUUAAAGAACAACAACGUCUAUCUUGUUAAAACAAUAGAUUCGCAGUAUAAGAUAUAUGAAUAAUGAUGAUGAUUAUGAUUUGAGCAUGAAAUAUUUCUAGCAACGUCAAAUCAUCUAAAAUCACGGAUUCAAAAGAUAUAAGAAUAGUCCUAAUCAGUUAAAAACAAUUCGAGGAUUAACAGAUAAAUGUCUUUUUCUUAAUACUAUAAUGUAUGGCAAUAAUACAUUUUCCAUGGUGAAUCCUGCAGAUAAGUGUUGCAGUCCUCGUUUAAAGCAUCAGAUAUAUUGGUUUCAAUUAUUUUUUCAUUUUUUAGUGACAUUUUCAAACCAAUCAAUUUUAGUUGCAUUUGUUUUAAUAUUCAUUCUAGGUAUAAUGGAAGGGAAAGCUGUUAUCAUUUUCUUUGGCUUUAUAGCAUGUGCUUUUGCUGGUAUGUAUUUUAUGACGUUAUAUAUUUUUAUUAUUGUUCAAAUGAGGAUUUAUACAAAGGAAUAAGUCAUGAGCAAUCAUUUUUAAAACUUUACAGACCAAAUUUUUGAAAACAAACUAUCAUAAGAUUCUUUAAAAAAAUGAUUAAAAUACAUGAAUGUUAAAAUUAACAUACAAACAAGGAUACAUCGUUUCAGCACUUGGCUUAUACGUUUACCAUUCCUCAUAAGGAAACAAUCGCAGAAAACAAGGAAAUUUGAAAUCAUUUAAGGAAAAAAAUUGUAAAAGGAAAAUAAAAAAUGACGGAUACAUAAAAUAAGAGAACCUUAUAUAUUGUAUUUAGAGCACAAAUAAAAUUAACGACCCAGUGGUAGUAAUAAAAUUAACGGUACCAAUUUUCUUGCACCAGAUGCGCAUUUCGAUAAUACAUGUCUCUUCAGUGAUGCUCGUGGCCAAAAUAUUUGAAUCCAAAGCUUAUAUAAAUGAUGAAGAGCUAUAAUCCAAAAGGUCCAAAAAGUAUAGCCAAAUUCGUGAAAGGAAUCAGAGCUUUUCAUGAGGGAGAUACAUUCUUUAAUUUAUAAUAAUUUCUAUCAUUUUGUAACAGCAAAUUUUUAUAACACAAAAAAAUCCGUAUUUUCAUGCCAGUACCGAAUUACUGGCUACUGGGCUGGUAAUACCCUCGGGGACUAAUAGUCCACCAGCAGAGGCAUCGACCCAGUGGUAGUAAUAAAAUUAACGGUACUAAUUUUCUUGCACCAGAUGCGCAUUUCGACAAUACAUGUCUCUUCAGUGAUGCUCGUGGCCAAAAUAUUUGAAAUCCAAAGCUUAUUUAAAAGAUGAAGAGCUAUAAUCCAAAAGGUCCAAAAGGUAUAGCAACAUCCGUGAAAGGAAUCAGAGCUUUGCAUGAGGGAGAUACAUUCCUUAAUUUAUGAUAAUUUCUAUCAUUUUGUAACAGCAAAUUUUUAUAACACAAAAAAAUCCGUAUUUUCAUGCCAGUACCGAAGUACUAGCUACUGGGCUGGUGAUAACUUCGGGGACUAAUAGUCCACCAGCAGAGCAUCGACCCUGUGGUAGUAAUAAAAUUAACGGUACAAAUUUUUCUUGCGCCAGAUGCGCAUCUCGACAAUACAUGUCUCUUCAGUGAUGCUCGUGGCCAAAAUAUUGAAAUCCAAAGCUUAUAUAAAAGAUGAAGAGCUAUAAUCCAAAAGGUCCAAAAAGUAUAGCCAAAUCCGUGAAAGAAUCAGAGCUUUGCAUGAGGAGAUACAUUCCUUAAUUUAUAAUAAUUUCUAUCAUUUUGUAACAGCAAAUUUUAUAACACAAAAAAAUCCGUAUUUUCAUGCCAGUACCAAGUACUGGCUACUGGGCUGGUGAUACCAUCGGGAACUAAUAGUCCACCAGCAGAUGGCAUCGACCCAGUGGUAGUAAUAAAAAUUAACGGUACCAAUUUUCUUGCACCAGAUGCGCAUUUCGACAAUACAUGUCUCUUAGUUCAGUGAUGCCUGUGGCCAAAAUAUUGAAAAUCCAAGCUUUAUAUAAAAGAUGAAGAGCUAUAUCCAAAAGGUCCAAAACUAUAGCCAAAUCCGUGAAAGGAAUCAGAGCUUUGAUGAGGGAGAUACAUUCCUUAAUUAUAAUAAUUUCUAUCAUUUUGUAACAGCAAAUUUUUAUAACACAAAAAAUCGUAUUUUCAUGCCAGUACCGAAAAGUACUGGCUACUGGGCUGGUGAUACCCUCGGGAUAAUAGUCCACCAGCAGAGGCAUCGACCCAGUGGUAGUAAUAAAAUUAACGGUACCAAUUUUCUUGCACCAGAUGCGCAUUUGACAAUACAUGUCUCUUCAGUGAUGCUCGUGGCCAAAAUAUUUGAAAUCCAAAGCUUAUAUAAAAGAUGAAGAGCUAUAAUCCAAAAGUCCAAAAAGUAUAGCCAAAUCCGUGAAAGGAAUCAGAGCUUUGCAUGAGGGAGAUACAUUCCUUAAUUUAUAAUAAUUUCUAUCAUUUUGUAACAGCACAUUUUUAUAACACAAAAAAAUCCGUAUUUUCAUGCCAGUACCGAAGUACUCAAACAUGGUUUUCUAUUGGUGUUAGUAAAUUAGAACAGCGGUUUUUGAUUUAAAAAAAUAAGUAAUAGAACAAAGAGUUCCAAAAAAAUAUCAUUUUUUUUUUUGGGGUUAUUGUUAGAGAAAAUGAAAAUAAAUCUAUUUUACCUUUUUGCUACGAGUAAAAAGCUUAUUUUACUUUCACCACUAACGCUGAAACUACGAAAGCACUUAUACUCUAUGCAAUAUUUAUAUCAAUAUUGCAAUGUAUAAUACACAUUUUGAUGGUAAAAAAUAUCGAAACUGAAUAAUAUUUAAAAUCUAAGCUACUUCAUUGAAGAGUCUUAUGUUGACGAAAAGCGCAACUGGCUUAUCAAAUUAUAAGCCUGGUACCUUUUAUAUUUUACGAAUGAUAAUUCAUAUUUCAACAUUUCUAAUUAAAAUUUAUUAUUACAGUAUAUUCACCCAAAGGCGGGAAAGUUUGUGAAAUUGAAUGCUCCAGUCAUUCAGAAUGUCUAGAUGGAUACAAAUGCCAAACCGAAGGAUGUGAUCGUAUGUGCAGACCUGGAAAAGUAAUUUUAUCUAAUGCAGUUGUCGGAUCAGACAUUAUUUCAGCUGGAUGCGUUCAGAGAUGUAUGGACCGAGGUGGGCUAGGUUGCAGAAGUCUUUGUCAGCGUAGUGCAGAUUUAUUAUCAGGAGGCCAAAUCAUUCGUAGUGGUUCCUUAGACAGUAGAUUCAAUGAUGCCUUAGUAGAUUCUAUUCGGCCAGAUAGUCUUGUUAGACAUACCUCGUCAUUAGGUGAUUCUAUUCGGUCAGGUAGUCUUGUUAGACAUAUCUCGCCAGUAGGUGAUUCUAUUCGGUCAGAUAGUCUUCUUGGACGUAUCUCACCAGUAGGUGAUUCUAUUCGAUCAGGUAGUCUUGUUAGACAUAUCUCGCCAGUAGGUGAUUCUAUUCGGUCAGGUAGUCUUCUUGGACGUAUCUCGCAAGUUGGUUCAAUUUUACAUAAAGGCUGUCAAAAUACAUGCAUUUCACGAGGCUGCAACUUCAACGAGGAAUGUGUCACACGAGAUGGAUGUUCUGUAUGUGUUCGUGCCAAGACCUACGCAUAAGAUAAGACAACAGAUGACAUAAUAUAUUGUGCAAUAUUUAAAUGAUAGUUAUCCAUUGAUCGUGAUAUUUUAUAAUUUUGUUUUGAUACACAAAUAAAGUAUUUAUUAUAACAGAGUUUAUUUUAAUUUUGGUCUUAGAUUUACAGCUGCCUCUAAUGCAUGUUAAAAAACAAAAUCAGCAACAAAUCGUUACCUUAGAAACUUCUAACUGAAAUAUAAG